rnacentral:lncRNA from 1 species
CCUAUUCCAGGAUGACUGCUGGAGAUCCAUCCAUUAGGUUUGCAUUCCAGGCCAACAGCAGGCAAAAGGAGAAGAAAAGAAAAAAGGUUAUCUGUUUUUCGCUUUUACAGAGGCUUUUCCAGAAAAGCCACAUGAAUUACCCUUGACUUAUAUUUCAUUGGUCAUCAUUUUAUUAUAUGACCAUCCAUCCAGUUGCUAGGAAGAAUUAACUAAGUAUAUUGCCUAGGAUUCUGUUACUAAGGAGACAGAGAGGAUGGCUGUAAAUCUGCUGAGCAACAGAAACCGGGAUCCCAAAAGAGCAUAUAUAAUAUGAUUUCAUUUAUAUGAAAUUUUAGAAAAACUAAAUCUAAUUUAGAGUGACAGAAAACACAUCAUUGUUUGCAGGUCAGGAUUUAAUAUGACGGGGAGUAAGUGUUAGGGGACAGACAGAUGAGAGUGGUGGGAACACAAGGUUAAGAGAAUAAUCCUACAACAUGGGCCCAUGGUGCUUUCUUUUCCAAGAAGCAAUUUACCUGCAUCCUGCCUGGCCUCAGUAGACAGACUAUGUCACAUUCCUCAGCAAACAACCUGUUAACCGCAGGAGAAAUUCAGGCCCCAAAUAAUGUUGAUAUGAAGAACCCAAGUUUCCCUGAAGAAGGAAACUUUUGUGACCAGAUCCUUCUGAGGGAGAAGGAUAAUUCCUCCUAACCAUAAAAUCUGUAAAAAUGUAUGGUUAAGAAUCCAAUGAGAACCAGUCAGCCUGGGCCAAGGUGAUCUAGAGUGGCCGUGACAGUGAAGACUUGAAAGUCUGAGGUCACCCUGCUGUCACUCAAAAGUCAAGAGGUGGACCUGGGUGGGACUCUCUGGAAACUUCUCUGGGAUCCUUAGUAAAACUGGAGUGCAGGAGGGGCACGCUAUCCCUCUGCUCUCUGAGAAGACCUAUUAUCCCUUGAGAGUAUGUUCUUUCUCUUUCCCUGAGCGACAUGUCUGAAAUCUUUCUCACUUGUUUGCAAGAAUCAGAGUUUGAAGACGGGGACUUCGCAGUGCCUCAGUUUCUCGGAAGGCCCCAGCUCCAUAACAUAAGGAACAUUUUGGGGAAUAAUGGAAAUGUUCUGUGUCCUGAUUGUGGUUGUGCUUAUAUGGGAGGGCAAUUUCGCCAAAAUUCUUCCAAAGGUACACUUAAAAAGGACGUCUUUUUGUAUUUAAGCUAUCAAGUAGACCUCAAUAUAGUUGAUUUCUGUAAGUACAGGAUGUCCCAGCACUAUAAUAAAACUACUUGAAAUUUUUA